CCCUUUGUAGCUCAGCUGGAAGAGCGUGGGACUGUAAUGGGCAUCACGUGAUCAUCCCAAGGCCAUCGGUUCGAUCCCGAUCGAAGGGA